GACGAACGCUGGCGGCGUGCCUAAUACAUGCCAGUCGAACGCAUUUUCUUUCACCGUAGCUUGCUACACCGAAAGAAAAUGAGUGGCGAACGGGUGAGUAACACGUGGGUAACCUGCCCAUCAGCGGGGGAUAACACUUGGAAACAGGUGCUAAUACCGCAUAAUUCCAUUUACCGCAUGGUAGAUGGAUGAAAGGCGCUUUUGCGUCACUGAUGGAUGGACCCGCGGUGCAUUAGCUAGUUGGUGGGGUAACGGCCUACCAAGGCUGCGAUGCAUAGCCGACCUGAGAGGGUGAUCGGCCACACUGGGACUGAGACACGGCCCAGACUCCUACGGGAGGCAGCAGUAGGGAAUCUUCGGCAAUGGACGCAAGUCUGACCGAGCAACGCCGCGUGAGUGAAGAAGGUUUUCGGAUCGUAAAACUCUGUUGUUAGAGAAGAACAAGGAUGAGAGUGGAAAGUUCAUCCCUUGACGGUAUCUAACCAGAAAGCCACGGCUAACUACGUG
rnacentral:rRNA from 1 species